GACGAACGCUGGCGGCGUGCCUAAUACAUGCAAGUAGAACGCACAGUUUAUACCGUAGCUUGCUACACCAUAGACUGUGAGUUGCGAACGGGUGAGUAACGCGUAGGUAACCUGCCUGGUAGCGGGGGAUAACUAUUGGAAACGAUAGCUAAUACCGCAUAAUAUUAAUUAUUGCAUGAUAAUUAAUUGAAAGGUGCAAUUGCACCACUACCAGGUGGACCUGCGUUGUAUUAGCUAGUAGGUGAGGUAACGGCUCACCUAGGCGACGAUACAUAGCCGACCUGAGAGGGUGAUCAGCCACACUGGGACUGAGACACGGCCCAGACUCCUUCGGGAGGCAGCAGUAGGGAAUCUUCGGCAAUGGACGAAAGUCUGACCGAGCAACGCCGCGGGAGGGAAGAAGGGUUUCGGAUCGUAAAGCUCUGUUGUAAGAGAAGAACGGGUUUGAGAGUGGAAAGUUCACACUGUGACGGUAUCUGACCAGAAAGGGACGGCUAACUACGUG
rnacentral:rRNA from 1 species